rnacentral:misc_RNA from 1 species
GGAAGAAAUUGAAGCUGUUCAGUUGGAUGGGCGUUUAACACUUCUUUUAUUGCGUGAAAUUGGCAAGGUUUUGCUUCUGCUUGCAGAACGAGCUGAAUACCAGAUUUCUGCUGGUCAUGAGGCUCGUCAAAUUGUGGGUCUUGCAACUCCAGCACAAGUCAAGAACUUUGCGUUAUGUCAGCAUCUGCAAGAAGUUCAUACACGCAUAUCAUCUAUGAUUGUUGGACUGCCUGCUAUUGCUGCAGACGUGUUAUCUCCCUCACUGGGUGCAAUUUACGGGGUCGCUCGUGAGUCAGUCACACCUUUGUUCAAAGCAAUGGUUGACCGUCUGGAGUCUUGCAUCUUGCAAAUUCAUGAACAGAACUUCGGUGUUCUUGGCAUGGAUGCUGCGAUGGACAACAAUGCUUCCCCUUACAUGGAGGAGUUACAGAAGUGCAUUCUUCACUUUCGUACUGAGUUCUUGUCGCGGCUUUUACCUUCUUCUGCAAAUGCUACAACUGCAGGAACAGAAACUAUAUGCACCCAGCUUGUCAGAAGCAUGGCAUCACGGGUUUUGACAUUCUUUAUUAGGCAUGCUUCUCUUGUACGACCCCUUUCAGAAUCAGGUAAACUCAGAAUGGCUAG